rnacentral:lncRNA from 1 species
ACAGCAGUACUAUUUUUAGUAAAACAGCAAAUUAAACUAUGAUGGUUUUAUGAUCACAAUUUUUAUAAAAGUAGCUUGUGAAAAAAUAAAAUAAAAAAUAAAAAAGUCUGAUGCAGACCUUUUCAGUGCAAUGUAUGGGUCAUAAUUGAAUAACAUAUAAAUAUAAGAUGAACUAGACAAAUGAGCAUACCUGACUGGAUGACCAGUCCAUUGAUGAACUUCAGCAGAACCACUUGUAAGGGCUAAUCUGUGCUGUUCCAUGGCCAGCUCUUCUAAAUAGAUCUUCAUCGAUGUUUCUGGUGGAAUUGAAAUAUUGGAACUGUUCCUGAUAUGUGGAUUCUUUUUGUAAUAUCGAUCUCUCAUCAAUGAAGAUUGGUAGAUGACAUUGUUCCUGAUUUAAAAAAAAAAAGUUGCACCUCAGAUCUCUUAAGAGAUAAACCCAUGUAAUUUAAAAUUGAUAAAUAUUAAUUACCACUCAAAACUUUACUUUUCUUAUUAGAAACAAUCUGCAUGUGUUUAGUUUUACAUCAAAAAGUUCAGAGAAGUGAGAAUGAAGAUCUUCUGUUCAGAUUAAUAAGAAUAUUU